GCGGGGGUUCCCGAGUGGUCAAAGGGGCCUGGUUCAGGACCAGGUGGCGCAGGCCUUCGCGGGUUCGAAUCCCGCCCCCCGCA
rnacentral:tRNA from 1 species